rnacentral:rRNA from 1 species
GGCGCACGGUGGAUGCCUUGGCACUAGGAGCCGAUGAAGGACGGGACGAACACCGAUAUGCUUCGGGGAGCUGUAAGCAAGCUUUGAUCCGGAGAUUUCCGAAUGGGGAAACCCACCACUCGUAAUGGAGUGGUAUCCAUAUCUGAAUUCAUAGGAUAUGAGAAGGCAGACCCGGGGAACUGAAACAUCUAAGUACCCGGAGGAAGAGAAAGCAAAUGCGAUUCCCUGAGUAGCGGCGAGCGAAACGGGAUCAGCCCAAACCAAGAGGCUUGCCUCUUGGGGUUGUAGGACACUCUGUACGGAGUUACAAAAGAACGAGGUAGAUGAAGAGGUCUGGAAAGGCCCGCCAUAGGAGGUAACAGCCCUGUAGUCAAAACUUCGUUCUCUCCUGAGUGGAUCCUGAGUACGGCGGAACACGUGAAAUUCCGUCGGAAUCCGGGAGGACCAUCUCCCAAGGCUAACUACUCCC